rnacentral:misc_RNA from 1 species
AAUUAUCAGGUUAACUAAAACCAGAAUGAACAUUAUCUACAGUAACAAUGUCUUCAAGCAGUGAGUAUAUGAAAGAUACAAAUGUAAAGCCACAACGAAACGAUUUUAUGUCCCAACUUCCUCAUGGAUAGGGUAAUGGCAAAAUGUUCAAUACCCCAGUUUGAUAGUUGGCUAAAUGCUUGCAUCAAAAUUAAUCAUUCUGCUAUACAAACUGGUGAAACCAAGUUUGUUUCCACUCGUAUGGCACCAAUUCACAACUCACCAGUAAGUCAAAUCAUGAUUAACCAGGAGGAUCCAGUAUGCUAAGCAACAGUUUUUGAGUUACUACAUGCCAUAUAGCUUUGUACACUGGAGUUUUGCGCCAAAAAUACUAUUAAAUUAUUAAGUGGGGCUCGUUUCAAUAGAUAUUUGCUGAAUGGCUCGAGGCAGAUUCAAUACAAUUUCUGCAUAAGCUUCUGGUAAACUCAUGGUUCUUAAGGCAUCCUCAGCAUAAGAUAGGCGAGUAGGGCUUGGGUGACUUCCAAGUGCUCCAUUUUUCUUGAAUUGAUUCAUUGGCCAUGCAAAUACUCUGACACGAGUUGGAAGUACAGAUACAAGGUCUGCAUAUCUAAGACUGACUCUCACCUUGCAUUCAAAAUCAUCCAGUACAAAUUCUAUCAUAUGGUAGGGAAGGCUAUGAUAUAGCUCUCCAAUUUGAUUUCCAUACAAUUCCUUGAUAAGCCGUACCUGUUCCCGCCUAUCAACGUAUGCUUGAAGAAGUUCUCCAACAUAAUCGAUAAAUCGCAUAGCAUUGGAAGAAAGAAGAUCAUUUUCUGCUUCUCGUAUUGGCAGAAAGAAAGGAAUUGUAUGUUCCUGGACAGUCAUCUUUUCAAGAAAUGACUUGCUCUCAAGCACACAAUGGUACAGCUCACAAGGUUCUCCUGCAUAAGAUGUUUCAUAUUGAAUGCCAAUUCUUGCCCCAUCUAAGCAACAAAUCACCUUAUUUCCAGCUCUAUAUGCAUUUUUUUCUUCAUAAUGAUGAACUGGCAUCGUAUUCCGUAUUCGAGUCUCGUGGCAUUUGCUUUCUGUCAGCCUCCAUGUGAACCCUCUCUCUUAUUGUAGCUAAUAGUCCAUCAUUCCAAUCUUCGCCAUCUACAUAGAGUUCUUGAGUUUGAGAAGCGCGAGCAGCUUCAAAUUCUUUCUGUAGACGCUCAAAUAUCAUCUUGUCAGAAUCCCUAGAAAGACGCUCGGCCAAUUCUGCAUGCCUCUUGAGAACAUUUGAAAAUCUAGCUCGUGUAGUCUCCAACCGAGUAUCUUCGUCUUGCAAGAAAUUCACUUCUCCCAUUACUUGGUAUUGACGCAUCGGAAUCAGUUCCACUUGCUUGCGAGAAGAGUCUCCUGGAAAUGGGUUCUUCUUUUGCCUCUUCCUCUGCGACUCUUCGGUGUCGCUGUCCAUUGACGAUAGUUAACUUAGAGAUUUUAUGGAAGGUAGAAUUAGAAUUACAGUUCAAGCGCCCAG